AUGCCCGAGACUACCUUCAGAAGCCUAACCGUGCAACAGCUUUAUACCAGGUGAAUGUGUGAACAAACAGAUCAGAGGCUCUACCUGCCAGGUGGCUCUCCAGGUGUGCCCUGUGAUUCCCCACGCUCGCCUGCAGGCUGCACUGUUGACGUGGUUAUCUCCCAGGCUCGCACAGCAGGCAAUUCAAACAGGUUGUGUCAACGCUGCAGGUAGGCACUGAAUCCACACAGCCAAGGCUGAAAAAGAUUGCCUCUGCCGCGAGAACUGUGGGCUAAGAACUGUGGUGGGCUGAGAACUGUGGAGAUGAGCCCACUUAGAGCUCCUAGUGUGCGCAUGCGUGGAGGGACACCUACUGGAGCAUGGGUAUCUUUCAUGGCCACAUUCCUGAAGAAAACAGAUGCUGGAGCCAGGAUCAGGAAAGGACCAGGAACAAGGUCCUCCACACACCCUCCAUCCGUGCGUUCCAGGGCUCGUGGGUUUGCUUCAGCCAAAACCUCGAACGAGCCACAUCCUUGUGCUCUUGACUGUGGUGAGGUCUUUUUAUUGCAUUUAUAAAUGUUCCCCCUGGGGCUGUUACUCAAAAGGGUUCAUCUAAUGAAUAAGACAACUAAC
rnacentral:lncRNA from 1 species